rnacentral:rRNA from 1 species
UGGGGAAUUUUGCGCAAUGGGCGAAAGCCUGACGCAGCAACGCCGCGUGCGGGAAGAAGGCCCUCGGGUUGUAAACCGCUUUCAGCAGGAACGAAAUUGACGGUACCUGCAGAAGAAGCCCCGGCCAACUACGUGCCAGCAGCCGCGGUGAUACGUAGGGGGCGAGCGUUGUCCGGAUUCAUUGGGCGUAAAGAGCUCGUAGGCGGUUCGGUUAGUCAGAUGUGAAAACUCCGGGCUCAACUCGGAGAGGCCAUCUGAUACUGCCGUGACUGGAGUUCGGUAGAGGAGUGUGGAAUUCCCGGUGUAGCGGUGAAAUGCGCAGAUAUCGGGAGGAACACCAGCGGCGAAGGCGGCACUCUGGGCCGAUACUGACGCUGAGGAGCGAAAGCGUGGGGAGCGAACAG